rnacentral:tRNA from 1 species
GCCUUCGUGGUGUAGUGGUCAACACACUCGACGCGUAACUGAGAUGUCCGUGGUUCGAUUCCCGACGAGGGUU